rnacentral:rRNA from 1 species
GACGAACGCUGGCGGCGUGCCUAAUACAUGCAAGUAGAACGCUGAAGAGAGGAGCUUGCUCUUCUUGGAUGAGUUGCGAACGGGUGAGUAACGCGUAGGUAACCUGCCUUGUAGCGGGGGAUAACUAUUGGAAACGAUAGCUAAUACCGCAUAACAAUGGAUGACACAUGUCAUUUAUUUGAAAGGGGCAAAUGCUCCACUACGAGAUGGACCUGCGUUGUAUUAGCUAGUAGGUGAGGUAACGGCUCACCUAGGCGACGAUACAUAGCCGACCUGAGAGGGUGAUCGGCCACACUGGGACUGAGACACGGCCCAGACUCCUACGGGAGGCAGCAGUAGGGAAUCUUCGGCAAUGGGGGCAACCCUGACCGAGCAACGCCGCGUGAGUGAAGAAGGUUUUCGGAUCGUAAAGCUCUGUUGUAAGUCAAGAACGAGUGUGAGAGUGGAAAGUUCACACUGUGACGGUAGCUUACCAGAAAGGGACGGCUAACUACGUGCCAGCAGCCGCGGUAAUACGUAGGUCCCGAGCGUUGUCCGGAUUUAUUGGGCGUAAAGCGAGCGCAGGCGGUUUGAUAAGUCUGAAGUUAAAGGCUGUGGCUCAACCAUAGUUCGCUUUGGAAACUGUCAAACUUGAGUGCAGAAGGGGAGAGUGGAAUUCCAUGUGUAGCGGUGAAAUGCGUAGAUAUAUGGAGGAACACCGGUGGCGAAAGCGGCUCUCUGGUCUGUAACUGACGCUGAGGCUCGAAAGCGUGGGGAGCGAACAGGAUUAGAUACCCUGGUAGUCCACGCCGUAAACGAUGAGUGCUAGGUGUUGGAUCCUUUCCGGGAUUCAGUGCCGCAGCUAACGCAUUAAGCACUCCGCCUGGGGAGUACGACCGCAAGGUUGAAACUCAAAGGAAUUGACGGGGGCCCGCACAAGCGGUGGAGCAUGUGGUUUAAUUCGAAGCAACGCGAAGAACCUUACCAGGUCUUGACAUCCCGAUGCUAUUUCUAGAGAUAGAAAGUUACUUCGGUACAUCGGUGACAGGUGGUGCAUGGUUGUCGUCAGCUCGUGUCGUGAGAUGUUGGGUUAAGUCCCGCAACGAGCGCAACCCCUAUUGUUAGUUGCCAUCAUUCAGUUGGGCACUCUAGCGAGACUGCCGGUAAUAAACCGGAGGAAGGUGGGGAUGACGUCAAAUCAUCAUGCCCCUUAUGACCUGGGCUACACACGUGCUACAAUGGUUGGUACAACGAGUUGCGAGUCGGUGACGGCAAGCUAAUCUCUUAAAGCCAAUCUCAGUUCGGAUUGUAGGCUGCAACUCGCCUACAUGAAGUCGGAAUCGCUAGUAAUCGCGGAUCAGCACGCCGCGGUGAAUACGUUCCCGGGCCU